UACGUAGGUGGCAAGCGUUAUCCGGAUUUGUUGGGCGUAAAGGGAACGCAGGCGGUCUUUUAAGUCUGAUGUGAAAGCCUUCGGCUUAACCGGAGUAGUGCAUUGGAAACUGGGAGACUUGAGUGCAGAAGAGGAGAGUGGAACUCCAUGUGUAGCGGUGAAAUGCGUAGAUAUAUGGAAGAACACCAGUGGCGAAAGCGGCUCUCUGGUCUGUAACUGACGCUGAGGUUCGAAAGCGUGGGUAGCAAACAGG
rnacentral:rRNA from 1 species